GACGAACGCUGGCGGCGUGCUUAACACAUGCAAGUCGAACGGAAAGGCUCCAGCUUGCUGGAGUACUCGAGUGGCGAACGGGUGAGUAACACGUGGGUAAUCUGCCCUGCACUCUGGGAUAAGCCUGGGAAACUGGGUCUAAUACUGGAUAUGACCUUUCUCCUUAUGGGGUUUGGUGGAAAGUUUUUCGGUGUAGGAUGAGCCCGCGGCCUAUCAGCGUGUUGGUGGGGUGAUGGCCUACCAAGGCGACGACGGGUAGCCGGCCUGAGAGGGUGAUCGGCCACAUUGGGACUGAGAUACGGCCCAGACUCCUACGGGAGGCAGCAGUGGGGAAUAUUGCACAAUGGGCGGAAGCCUGAUGCAGCGACGCCGCGUGAGGGAUGACGGCCUUCGGGUUGUAAACCUCUUUCAGCAGGGACGAAGCGUAAGUGACGGUACCUGCAGAAGAAGCACCGGCUAACUAUGUG
rnacentral:rRNA from 1 species